rnacentral:rRNA from 1 species
AUUGAACGCUGGCGGCAUGCUUUACACAUGCAAGUCGAACGGGGUUGGGAGCUUGCUUCCAAUCUAGUGGCGAACGGGUGAGUAAUACAUCGGGACGUACCGUGUAGUGGGGGAUAACGUAGCGAAAGUUACGCUAAUACCGCAUACGAUCCACGGAUGAAAGCAGGGGACCUUCGGGCCUUGUGCUAUACGAGCGGCCGAUGUCUGAUUAGCUAGUUGGUGAGGUAAAGGCUCACCAAGGCGACGAUCAGUAGCGGGUCUGAGAGGAUGAUCCGCCACACUGGGACUGAGACACGGCCCAGACUCCUACGGGAGGCAGCAGUGGGAAUUUUGGACAAUGGGCGCAAGCCUGAUCCAGCCAUGCCGCGUGUCUGAAGAAGGCC